rnacentral:tRNA from 2 species
GCGGGAAUAGCUCAGUUGGUAGAGCAUCAGCCUUCCAAGCUGAGGGCCGCGGGUUCGAAUCCCGUUUCCCGCUCCA